CCGGACCUGACUGCUAUCGGAUUGGUACUAAGCCAUGCGAGUCAUUGUAGCAAUACAAGGCGGACGGCUCAGUAACACGUAGUCAACCUAACCUAUGGACGUGGAUAACCUCGGGAAACUGAGAAUAAACCGCGAUAGAUCAUUAUGCCUGGAAUGGCUUAUGGUUCAAACAAUUUAUUGCCGUAGGAUGGGACUGCGGCCUAUCAGCUUGUUGGUGAGGUAAUGGCCCACCAAGGCUAUAACAGGUACGGGCUCUGAGAGGAGAAGCCCGGAGAUGGGUACUGAGACACGGACCCAGGCCCUAUGGGGCGCAGCAGGCGAGAAACCUUAGCAAUGUGCGAAAGCACGACUAGGUUAAUCCGAGUGAUUCCUGUUGAAGGAAUCUUUUGUCAGUCGUAAAACCACAGACGAAUAAGGGGUGGGCAAGUCUGGUGUCAGCCGCCGCGGUAAUACCAGCACCUCGAGUGGUCAGGAGGUUUAUUGGGCCUAAAGCAUCCGUAGCCGGCUUUGCAAGUCUCCGGUUAAAUCCAGCUGCUCAACAGAUGGGCUGCCGGAGAUACUACACAGCUAGGGAGCGGGAGAGGCAGACGGUAUUCUGUGGGUAGGGGUAAAAUCCAUUGAUCCAUAGAGGACCACCAGUGGCGAAGGCGGUCUGCCAGAACGCGUUCGACGGUGAGGGAUGAAAGCUGGGGGAGCGAACCGGAUUAGAUACCCGGGUAGUCCCAGCUGUAAACGAUGCAAACUCGGUGAUGCAUUGGCUUAUGGCCAAUGCAGUGCCGCAGGAAGCCGUUAAGUUUGCCGCCUGGGAAGUACGGACGCAAGUCUGAA
rnacentral:rRNA from 1 species